rnacentral:tRNA from 1 species
GCCCCCGUGGCUCGAACAGAUCAGGCACCCGUCUUCUAAACGGGAUCGAUGCCGGUGCAAUUCCGGCCGGGGGUU